ensembl:lncRNA
AUGGAAGGAGGGUGAUGAGGGAUGGAGGGAGGGUGAUGAGGGAUGGAGGGAGGGUGAUGAGGGAGAGUAAAUCACGUAUCUGCAUGCCGUUGAACUAUUGUAAAUGUUACUGUAGCAGAGAAGCCGUAACGUAAAUGUAAAAUGUACAUUUCUCUGUCCUCUUGUACAGCAGAUCAUUAACCUGACCUUAAUGAUUUGAAAUCAAGCUGAAACUGCAACUAUGACAUUGUUUGUACAGUACUAGUGAUGAACUACUUGUGCUGGUAUGGGAUAACAUUUAAAAAAGACUAUCACUGCCCCUUACCAAAGACUGAAAUUGUUAACACUCUGACACACACACGCACACACACAUUUGAUCCAUUAACAUUAAGACACUAAAAUGAUGUCCCAGGCCUUUUCAACAUUUAUACCCUAAAUGUAGUUUUAUGAUCAAUACAUGUCCCAAAUGUUUAUUCAAUGGUUUUCCUUUGGUAAUAUAAUGUAAGUACUUUACUGCCCAAGACAGUCAUCACAGAUAAUGUUUGCAACAUGGUAGAUUUGAACUAUUUCUAAAGCCAAACCUUUGGUCAUUUCAUGUCCAUGUAAAAUAUUGAGUGCACCGCCCCUAACAGGAUCUUGUACACUAUUGGUCCAUUCAUCCUAUGAUAUGUGACAUCAUACCAAAUUAAAAUGUCAGUCAAAGACCCUGUACAGGGCCCUACAUACACCACAUUGAUGUGUCAUGUCUGCUGUCGGCAUACUUCUUUCAAUUGAUUAACUUGAAUCGGUUUAAAGUGAAGGAUCACAUUAUAAAGUGUAAACAAGUAUAACUUGGUUUCUAUCAAAUACGGUUCUUAUUGAUGUGAGAGUCCUGUGCCUUUUGAAUAGGUUUGCCUUGUUUUGAUGUCGAAUGUGUGAAAUGCAUCUUUGUGUAAAUUGCCAUUGUAUUAUACGAAGCUGUCUGUUAUUGGAUAGACCGUGUGCACUUUUAGUACGGUACCACUACUGAGUUAAAAACACUUGCGAUGAUGAAGAGUAUUUUGAGAAGUGGCUCCUUAAAAAGACAAUAAUUAUAGACGUGUAUUUUUAUUUUGUCUUGAAGCACUUGUUUCUGUUCAUCAACCUAAGUGUAUGCAUUUUGUUGUUGUAAAUGUGUGUAUGGCGUAAAGGGAAAACAUUGAGAUGAUGAUGAUGAUGAUGAUCAUAGUAUAGAAGUGUAAAGGGAAUCUGCUUGUGAUUAAUAAAUGUGACUAUUGUACAUUG